ACUGACUGUCUUUUAACACAGCAUUGUAUGCAAAUUGUAUAGUUUAAUUUCUGUUGCGAGAUGGUGCCAAGUUUCACGACACAUUUCGCCUACAAGGUUAUUAUCACUCGAUGAUUCAACGCUUACAGCUGAUAAGUUGAAUACAACCUAACUAGCCAUCGUGAGUUGUUAGCAUUCUAUUUACUGAGAACGUAGUUUGUGGAAAUGAUUAUUCAUAGUCUUGUUUCUAAUGUGAGCUAUCUGUUCAACAGAAGCGGCCUCAUUAUUGGUUCUUACUUUAAUAAAGCCUCCUUCCUUAAGCCUCGUUAAAGUUUAACAUGACCCUUCAUAGGGACACAGCUGAGCUUCAGCGGUGCCGAGAAAGACUUAGGGCGGAGAGCAAAGCUGUCCUCAUCCAGGUAUCCAUCUAUCAAGACGACAGAGACUCCUCCUGAGAAGGCUGGGCUAGCACACUUAAUAACGGUCUGGGUGCUGAGAUACACAAACACGCCGCACCAUAGUGCCCUGGGGAGACUCACCCUCGGCGCCAGCCCAUUGGCUGUGUGUAUAGUGAAUUCAGACGGAGUUAGGAAAUAGGCCUUUAAUCCACCGGCUCUGUCCACAGAACCCGCGAAGUCUCUCGUCAUUUGUUAACUGAGGGCAAUCAAUGAAAAACUAAAUGGUCAAAUACGAAAUCAUCCCAGCAGGACCCUGGGAGACUCAGAACUAAUGAUGUACCUUUUCAAAAUAAAUGAAGUGUGAUUACAA